CGACGCAAAAAGUGAAUUUGCGUCGCAUGGGAGCCAGAGUGAGACGCAAAAUAACUGAUCACAAGCACCAGAUACGAGCCAUAUGCGUCGGAUCCAGGUGAAGUGCGACACAUAUCGCUCAUGUGCGUCGGAUCCCGAGGCCCAUCCGACGCACAUCGUUGACAACUAUCUGCGUCGCACGUUGUUGAGGUUCGUUGCAAAUUAUGAGUGUGCGUCGGACCGCAAGCUCAUGCGACGCACAUCAGUCGAAAUUCAACUUCAAAUCCCCCUCUCCCUCUUAACCAAAAACUUCAACUCCGCAUCUCCCUCUUAACCUAAAACUCCCUCUUAACCGCCGCGUCUUCCUCUCUCCCUCUCUCUCCUUCUCUCUCUCCCCCUCUCUCUCUUUCACUCGUCGAAAUUCAUCAUCCGUCUUCCUAUCUCCCUUUAUCUCUCUUUCACUUGUCGAAAUUGAGCAUCUGCAUAAAGAAUCCAUCAUUGUUAUGGCCGCAACCGAAAUUCAUCUCAGGCUACUCUCGAAAUUCAUGUCAGGCAACUCGAAAUUCAUCUCAGGCAACUCCGUUCGUUCGUUUUAUUUCGUUUCAUCUCAGUACAUUGGGACAGGGACUUCAUACAAGUACCUAUCCGGGAGAGGUGAUAUUUUCCAUCGCGCUUGCCAUAUUCGGGCUUAUCGUGUUUGCACUUUUGAUUGGUAAUAUGCAAGUAUAUAACUAUAACUUAACAUAUAUUAUAGCUAAAUGCAUGUUAGGAAGCUCUUGUGAUGCCUUGUCAUCCAUGCUUAUAGUCUGUCAUGUUAUAAACAUGUGAAUAAUUCUUCAAUGAAAGAUAUUUGCCUUGGUCUAAAGUUAUCUACUGCUUGUGCUAAAUUAAUUAUAUACAAUCUUUUACCAAAAAUGCAAAUGAGCCAAAACAAUAUGAGUAACAAGUAUGUUUAAGCUCAUGUAAAUUGUCAAGCCUGACCCAAGCUUGAGCGAUGACCAAGUUCAAGAAGUUGUCAUUGAUUCAUUUAACUUUGGAUUUGUUUGGCCCUGUUUAUUUGCUUCACAUGUAUUUAAACCUUGAUUUUUGACUUGUUCAGUAAAUAAUCAUGUAGCUUAACUUAGCUGCUCAGGUAUCAAUUUGUGUGAUUCUUUGCAUUUUCCAGUUGAUAUUUUUUAAUUCUCAAACUGUAACAUGUCAAUACCCAAUAGAAGAUGAUACGGGCUUUUGGUUUGAGCAUUGUGAAUUUGCAGAUCAAACAUUACUUGUUCAUAUUAUGAUUGGUAUGUUUGAAGAUGGGACUAGUUUGGCAGGUUCAACCGUUCAGUGCAACAUGUCUAUAGUUUGAUCCCUUGCUUCGAUCUCAACCUUCUAUAUGUGUUUGAUAAGCACUGAAACAGAUCUAAAAGCAAACAUUCUUCAGAUAUAAUCAUAUUUUCCAUCAAUAUGAGAAUUUUCGCAAGUGACUGAAUAAUUUGUGGAAAAUGUUGCAAGCAAGUUAGAUAUUCGUAGUCCCCAUAACUGUCAGGUAGGAGUGUUGCAUGUAUCUUUUGGACUCCAAACUUGUGGAUUUGGCUUGAAAUUUAAUUGAAUAAUUUCCUGAAUAGUA